rnacentral:rRNA from 1 species
GGACAGUGGAACUCCAUGUGUAGCGGUGAAAUGCGUAGAUAUAUGGAAGAACACCAGUGGCGAAGGCGGCUGUCUGGUCUGUAACUGACGCUGAGGCUCGAAAGUAUGGGUAGCAAACAGGAUUAGAUACCCUGGUAGUCCAUACCGUAAACGAUGAAUGCUAAGUGUUGGAGGGUUUCCCCCUUCAGUGCUGCAGCUAACGCAUUAAGCAUUCCGCCUGGGGAGUACGGCCGCAAGGCUGAAACUCAAAGGAAUUGACGGGGGCCCGCACAAGCGGUGGAGCAUGUGGUUUAAUUCGAAGCUACGCGAAGAACCUUACCAGGUCUUGACAUACUAUGCAAAUCUAAGAGAUUAGACGUUCCCUUCGGGGACAUGGAUACAGGUGGUGCAUGGUUGUCGUCAGCUCGUGUCGUGAGAUGUUGGGUUAAGUCCCGCAACGAGCGCAACCCUUAUUAUCAGUUGCCAGCAUUAAGUUGGGCACUCUGGUGAGACUGCCGGUGACAAACCGGAGGAAGGUGGGGAUGACGUCAAAUCAUCAUGCCCCUUAUGACCUGGGCUACACACGUGCUACAAUGGAUGGUACAACGAGUUGCGAACUCGCGAGAGUAAGCUAAUCUCUUAAAGCCAUUCUCAGUUCGGAUUGUAGGCUGCAACUCGCCUACAUGAAGUCGGAAUCGCUAGUAAUCGCGGAUCAGCAUGCCGCGGUGAAUACGUUCCCGGGCCUUGUACACACCGCCCGUCACACCAUGAGAGUUUGUAACACCCAAAGUCGGUGGGGUAACCUUUAGGAACCAGCCGCCUAAGGUGGGACAGAUGAUUAGGGUGAAGUCGUAACAAGGUAACCAAGGGCGAA